rnacentral:lncRNA from 1 species
ACCUAGGCGUUGUAUUUGCGAAUGUGCAGCAUACCAGUCCCUAACGACUCGAGCAGUGUGGACUGGACUAUUGUCUUCUAUUACCCACACGGUUUCUUCAUUUGGGUAACGUUGCUGAAUACCUGAUAGAAGAUAGUUUUCAAGCAGCUGCACAUACAAUGUUCUGUAGAUCUGCAUCCGUAAGUUUAAAUUUUCCACCAUUACGACGUCGAAGAUCGUGUACUGGUGCAUUUUCAUUCUCUUGAGCAAAUCGUCUGGUCCACUUCUUUACGCAUGCAGUUGUGCAGUUGAAGAAAAAUGCGAUUUGAUCAACUGUUUGCUGACGAGUCCACAAAUCCCGCAUUUGUAAAAGAUUGUCUCUUGUCGGUCGAAACGGCAUUUUCGCGUAAAGCAAGAUACACUUUGCUUUGCGUUACACACAACACUACGUAGCACUUUGUCGAAGUAUACUGUCCGUCAGUACUUACUAGCCAAAGCUUAAACACUCUCUGAACGUCCGACGCGGAAAAAUAUAAACACACGGUGCGUACUCGUAUGUCGUCUGCGCUUUCGACAAAAUUCCACGAAUUACAGAAUGCCGAGCGCGAGGCGCGUUUGCCGAUGUGACCGCAUCGACCUUCCUAUGAGCCCAUAGACAGUAGCGCUACAGUCGCGCGCGCAUUCGGCAGUCGGCAUUCGCUUUCGAUCAGAGAAGGUUUCUCGUACUGAUAUUUCAGUACUUACUGCAAGUAUAUUUACGCUGUGUUAAGCUAUUUCAUUAUUACGAUGAACAACAUAGAAAGAGUAGUGGCACAGGAAGUGCAUGAACGGGUUUUCUUGUAUGACUUGUUACAUCCGUCUAAUCUUGAUCAACAAAUGUGAGCUCAAGCUUUUCAAAAGAUGAGUCUGACUAUUAGACAAGAAUUUCCUGAAGUUGCAAAGGUGUAUGAUGCUGACAGAGUAGUCUCAAUUUAUAAUAAUCUUAGAAGGACAUAUGUCCUCAUUAAACGAAAGAUUAUUGCUGGUGAUUGGAACUUCCAGACUUUAUCAGAGAAGAGGAAAGAUAUAUACGAUGCCAUGUCGUUCUUAAAAUAUUUUAUCCGACAUCGAAGUGGACCACCAAUGAUUAAUCCUCUACGCUAGCUACUUAUAUUUUGUUACAAUCAUUAAUUAUUAGACUAUUUGUUGCGGUAAAUCAAUGUUCAAUCAUCAAGAUUGGUGAUUUUAACACCAUUUAAUAUAAAUGUUAUGUUAGCACGCGUUCUACCUUACAGUUCUACUAGUAUUUUGAGAAAAUCUAUGACAAUUGUCAACAAGCUUUGAAUUACUUCAGAACAGUAUUAAGUUCACACAGAUCACAUGGCUUAGCGGAAACUCAUCUGACUACUAGCUUCAUUACUAUAUAGGUAAUUGUAGUCCGAAAAAAGAAGAAAAGCAUUGAUAUAAGAGCAUUACAUGGCUUGGCGAUAACUCAUCAGUCAGAUUCUACCAGUACUAAAGGCAAUUUGAGUCACAAAAUACAACAAGAGUGUUGAUAUAAGUGGAUCCGACAGUUUGAAAAAUGUUUAUUGCCAAUAGAGUAUGAUUAAUUUUUCAUCUAGAGGUCUGUAAGUUGGUACAGGUAUUGUAACAAUGUAUACAAAACAAAUUAUCAGGGUAGUUUUCAUUGCAAUAUGUUCUGUAUCAAUGUUCACCUGAAAACCUACCCGCGGUUCGCCAUUUGACGUGUGUGAUCUCUUGGUUUUAUUGUUCAACAAACUUCCUUCAUCCCAAACAAUUGUAUUAUUAUAUUCUGUUGUAUUUUUAACUAUAUACAGAUAGUUUUCAUUACUUUGUCUCUUACUCUCAGACCUUUAGAUGAAAAAUUAUUCAAGCUUUAUUGCAAUUGAACUUUUUAUGAAAAAUAUAUUAACCAUUACAUGUCAUUCAUUAAGUUAUUUUUUUCAGAUAAAAUGUUGCUUAUGCACCUUUUUUACAAGACCAGUUUGCAAUGGUGAGGGGACAAACUGUCGAUAGCGAUACAAUAACACAUAAGCCAGUCAAUGUAAAAGAAAAUUUAUAUUAUGUUAAUGUAUAUUUCUUAUGUUCUAUUUUCGAUGUAGGCUAUAAGAGAGUUUCUUCAAUGUAUUUUUUACAAUGCUUCGAUGCAUAUUUACGUUAGUUUGUAUUUUUAUACGACGAUUUAUAUUAUUUAUUGUCUUUGUUCAUUUAAACGUUGUUGAUUGAUAUAUAAAAAUAAAAUUGUGGUAAAACUAUUGAUUUCUUUCACCUUCAUAACUGCUCCUAUUAUACUUCUGUUAAAAUAUAUGUGAGGAUUUAAUAUAAGUAUUCUCUUUAUACUAUUGAUGUGACUACUUGCAGCUGUGACCUAUUUAA